CCCCUAGAUGUUCUGGGCCGCACGCGAGCUACACUGAACAGUUCAACAAGUCUUAACCUUGGCCGAUAGGUCUGGGUAAUCUUUGAACGCUGUUCGUGAUUGGGAUAGACCUUUGCAAUUAUGGGUCUUCAACGAGGAAUUCCUAGUAAACGCAAGUCAUCAGCUUGCAUUGAUUACGUCCCUGCCCUUUGUACACACCGCCCGUCGCACCUACCGAUUGAAUGGUCCGGUGAAAUCUCGGGACGGCGGCUUGGUCGCUUGCGUCCGACUGCUGAAACUUGAUUAAACCAUAUCAUUUAGAGGAAGGUGAAGUCGUANCA
rnacentral:rRNA from 1 species